rnacentral:rRNA from 1 species
UACAGAGGUCCCAAGCGUUGUUCGGAUUCACUGGGCGUAAAGGGUGCGUAGGCGGUCAAGUAAGUCUGACGUGAAAUCUCCGGGCCUAACCCGGAAACUGCGUUGGAAACUACUUGGCUAGAGGAAUGGAGGGGAGACUGGAAUACUUGGUGUAGCAGUGAAAUGCGUAGAUAUCAAGUGGAACACCAGUGGCGAAGGCGAGUCUCUGGACAUUUCCUGACGCUGAGGCACGAAAGCCAGGGGAGCAAACGGG